GUCUAGGACCCCUGGGUGGUCACGCAAAUCCCAGACGAGCCCCCAAAUGUAAGACCCCCCGAAGGGAGACCCUCACUCAAAUCUUGGGAAUAGCGCGCACCCAGUGAGGCACCGAGACCG
rnacentral:pre_miRNA from 11 species